rnacentral:rRNA from 1 species
CAGCCGCCGCGGUAAUACGAAGGGUGCAAGCGUUAAUCGGAAUUACUGGGCGUAAAGCGUGCGUAGGCGGUGAGUUAAGUCUGCUGUGAAAUCCCCGGGCUCAACCUGGGAAUGGCAAUGGAUACUGGCAAGCUAGAGUGUGUCAGAGGAUGGUGGAAUUCCCGGUGUAGCGGUGAAAUGCGUAGAGAUCGGGAGGAACAUCAGUGGCGAAGGCGGCCAUCUGGGACAACACUGACGCUGAGGCACGAAAGCGUGGGAAGCAAACAGGAUUAGAUACCCCAGUAGUCCCUGUCUCUUAUAC